ACACAAACGCAUCAUGGUGUGUGGGUUAUAAUUACACAAAGAACAACGUUUUCUGGCUGUUAUUACACAAUAAGAACAAUGUGUGCAGGCUUUAAUUACACAAUAAGAACAAUGUGUGCAGGAUGUAAUUACACAAUACAAACAAUGAGUGCAGGCUUUAAUUACACAAUAAGAACAAUGUGUGCAGGAUGUAAUUACACAAUACAAACAAUGAGUGCAGGAUGUAAUUACACAAUAAGAACAAUGUGUGCAGGCUGUAAUUACACAAUAAGAACAAUGUGUGCAGGAUGUAAUUACACAAUAAGAACAAUGUGUGCAGGAUGUAAUUACACAAUAAGAACAAUGAGUGCAGGCUGUAAUUACACAAUAAGAACAAUGUGUGCAGGCUUUAAUUACACAAUAAGAACAAUGUGUGCAGGCUGCAAUUACACAAUAAGAACAAUGUGUGCAGGCUGUAAUUACACAAUAAGAACAAUGUGUGCAGACUGUAAUUACACAAUAAGAACAAUGUGUGCAGGCUGUAAUUACACAAUAAGAACAAUGUGUGCAGACUGUAAUUACACAAUAAGAACAAUGUGUGCAGACUGUAAUUACACAAUAAGAACAAUGUGUGCAGGCUGUAAUUACACAAUCUAAACAAGGUGCAC
ensembl:lncRNA